ACCUCAUGGUUUGGACAAUUUGCCAAUUUUUCGUUGAAUCUUUCCCAUGCUUCAAAUAAUGGUUCCCCACUCAAUUACCUAAAAUUUAUGAUCUCAUCCUGCAUUU
rfam:Capsicum annuum cultivar Zunla-1 chromosome 3, whole genome shotgun sequence